CCUGGCGCAGCUGAUGGGAAGGCUUGUAAACCAAAAAAAAAAUUCAAAGACCUCCCGGCAACCAUCUGAAUGGGCUUCCCUGUCUGCCACGGCGCUCUAAACUUUAACCUGGAAGACGUUCGGGCCAUGCCACAGCAUCCCCCGCCAGCAUUAACACCGAUGCAGGCCUUAAGUCUGAUAGGAAGCGUUUACCAUCUAUUUUCUCUCUAAAGUCCGCUACCUGGAGGCGCCGCCUGCUCUCCACAGCCUCUAUUUCAUAACCCAGACACUCCUUUCUGCUGAUACGAACUCUUCAAUCAGUUGACAGUCAGAACAUGUUUAAAUCUCCCUAUGACCUAGAAGCCCCCAAUUCGAGCUGUCCCAGCCUUCCAGAUGGAACCAACGUUCGAUAGAUGCUCAUGUCUUCCUAAAAUGUAUAAAAGCAAGCUGUGCCUCCAUCACCUUGGGCACUUGUGGUCAGGGGUACACCCUGAUGUCCUCCCUCCUGAGGCUGUGCCUCGGGUGCGUCCUUCGCCUUGGCAACAAAAACUUUCUAAACUAAUUGAGACCCGUUUCAGGUACUUUUUGGUUUACAGGCUCAACUUAGCAAACAAACCUGCACGGUACACAGACACACACAAGGCAGGGGUUGCACAGUGAGUUUCGGCAUGCCGCAUUCCAGAGAUGUAUAGAAAUUCUAGUUAUGUAUACGUUUUAGGUUGAAAGGAGGCCUGGAACCAGGUGCCGACUUUAGAUAAUAGAGAAGUCUAAUUACUUCUACCUUUCCCAAAUACGGAGGUUCCCCCCACAGCCCCUGGGGCCUGCCUGAUGGCCACCAGGUGAUCUUUGCUCUCCUCAAUUUCCCUCUGACAACUAUCUUGGUGAAAUCUCUGACCCUUCCUUUUCCGCCAUGCUCAUGUCCACCUGCUUCCUGUUGGGGUCUUGAGAAAGGGGAACUGGCACAGUGAAGAGGGGUGUCCAGUGCGCCUGGCUACUUCCUGCUGAAAGGGAGUUCGGGGGACAGGUCGCGGUUUUCCCUUUCUUGCUCUCGGUCGUGAAGGGAAUAAAGGGUCAUGAAAGCUUGUGCACGGAGGCGCGUGACAGGAUUCCAUCAAGAAGCCCCAUGUAAAUCGAGCUGCCGUUGCAGGCCGGUAUUGGGACUGCAUAGCCGUCUGCAGGUGGAAUUGUUGUCAUCUGGAACAUAGAGACUUAACGAGAGCAUUAAAAAAGGCAGGGACCAAAUAUUAAAAGAAAAAUCGCCGAAGAUAAAGGUCUGAGGAACGGGAGAAGCCAAGGGGUUUUUUGAAAACCAGUCAGGAAAAGUUUGGGCCCAGUCUUGGUUACUUUGGGAAAGUGUGUGUAGCCAUUUGGCUUGUUUGAAGAUUUCUUGGGCAUCGGUUUCCACUUCUCCAGACACAUUAAUGUAGGUGCAACAGGUCCUGUUGAUGACGGCACGGACCCCUCCUUGUUCAGCCAGGAGAUGAUCCAGAACUCACCUGUUUCCGAGCCCCGAGCUCCUGCUGGCAAGUCUAACGACUUGUAGAGCUGACAGGCGGGUGCCAGCGUUUGCUACUUCAAGGGAGGCGGUAGGUUCUCGUAGUUGUGAUUUCCCGGUAAGUAAAACCUCCCCAAGGGGUAAGAGUUGUGAUAGUUCCCACAACUCCCGUCACAAUAAGUCCCAGGGCCCUUUUCCUUCUGAAUAGAAUUCUGAAUUGGAAGUGAUGCUCAAGGCAGUGAUUUGGGUGGGAGCUGUUGUUCCCAGACUACAAUCACCACAGUGAAGAGAAUGAUCAAGGUGGGAUAGGGCCGAAGUUGGAAAAGGGUUUCACCAUGUUGCCCAGGCUGGUCUCGAACUCUUGACCUCAAGUGAUCCGUCUGCCUCGGCCUCCCAAAGUGCUGGGAUUAUAGGUGUGACCCACUGCGUCGCCUAAGAUAAGAUCUUUAUAAGUGCUAGAGAGGCUCUUUGUGCUGGGAGUUAAGAUAAGACCCCAAAAUUGAACACCCUGUGUGGAUAUUUGUACCUGAGAAGGAGAUACUUUGUACCUAUAAUCAGCAAGUUUGUUUAGUACUAAUACUGUGUUUUGGUCUGGAGCAGCUUUGCUAGGACCACAGAUUAUAGGUCAUCUACAUACUGGAGUAGAUUGCCAUCUGGGUGAAGUUGCAGUGUGGACAGGUCUUUAACUAGGGCCUGUCUAAAAAGGCGGGAGCUAUCUCUGAAUCCCUGGGGCAGAACUGUCCAAGUCAACUCUUGAGUUAUUUGAGUAUCUGGGUCUUGCCGUUCAAAAGCAAACAAAUAUUUGCUAUCUAAGCGUACAGGAAUGCAGAAAAACACAUUCUUAAGAUCAAGAACUGUAAAACAAGCUGUGGUGGAGGGAAUCUGUCCAACAAGGGUGCAAGGGUUUGGGACAACAGGAUGAAUAGGUAUAACAGCUUCGGUAAUGACUCUAAGGUAAGAGCCAUCUGGUUUCUUUACAGCUAAAACAAGAGUGUUGCAAGGCGAGCUGCAUGGGUACACUCAUCUACCGGUCAGACGUUUUUGUUAUUAGAGGUUUUAGCCCUUUUCAUGCUUCUGGUUUCAAGGGGUAUUGGGGGGUUCUGGGGAACUCACUGGGAUUUUUAAGCUGAAUGACAACAGGAGCAGCUGAUAUUGAACAGCCAGGAAUAGAAGCUUUCCAAACCUCAAAUGGCACUUGUUUUAGAAUGUGAGGUUCUAUAGAUUGUAGCAGCUCUGUUGGUGAUGUGUGAGUGAAAACAGCUAGAAGGUGAAGCCUUAGCUACAAAUUAGCUUGUAAUUUUGUGAGUAAGUCAUGCCCUAAUAAUGGAACAGGGCAGUUCGGCAGGACUGAAAAGGAGUGGGUAAAGGAAUAGCCUUCCAUUUGACAAGGGAGUGGUGGUGUGAAACAGCCUCAUUGGGAUUUUCCAUCCACACCUGUGAGGAAAAUGAAGGACUAGCACGUUGGGCCACAGUAAAUGUUUGAAGCUGAAUAACUGGCCCCUGUAUCUCCGAGAAACGCUGCCUCUUGUUCAGCCUCAAUCAGAUUUCCCCAGGGCUCCUCCAUAGAGAGAGGUUAGGGCCACACAGUCCCAUCAGUCAUCUGGAGAAUGACUUUCAGAGGCUUGGAGAGAGUGAGGGUGCCCGUUCUUGCCCUCAUCCUAGUCCUUGUUCUGCAGGACUCCCUUGUUGGGUAGGUUGGCAAGGCUGUGGCUGUGAUGGCCCAGAAGGAAGAAGUGUCCCACGCCCUGUCAUGGGGGAGAGAGGGAAAUGCACUCUUCCAACGACCCUCUUGUUUGCAGUGAGGACAGGGUCCUGGGGGCAGCUUGUAACCCAGAGGUUUGGGAUACUCUGUACUCUAGUGUCCUGGAUUCCUGAAAUAAUGACAGGCCCCUGUUCUGCUAGUGUUAUAGGGACAAGCCUUGGGGUCAGUAGCAAAUGAAAAGAAUGUGCCAAUGCUGUUGCCGUGUCAGCAGCUUGACCCUGCCAUUUUUCCUCCUCCAACUGAGCCUUGGCCCUCAGGGGUUCUGGGGUCUAAAUUGGUGUAUUUAUGCAUGGCCUACACCAGCCUAGUUUGGAAAAGGGCAGGGGUUCUCAGGUGGCUCCUGAGUGAUUUCUCGUAAUUUAGAAAAAUUAACAGGGUUUAUUAGAUCUUUUUUCAUUUCUUCCAACAAGUAAGUUAUAAUCUCAUCUGCCCCUGCCUCUGUCUGGACCACCUCAGCAGCCUGGUAUUGCCAGUGGGCUCUGUGUUGGGGACAGAUUUUUCCCAGCUCUCUUAUCAUUAGGGUUAUGAGCAUGAGCUUUAUCUGCCCCAGCUUGAGCUAAAGACCACAUGUGUGAUUUUUCUUCAUGGGAACAGCAAGUAGUUAACACCACGAAUAUGUCUUACCAGAUUAAAUCAAAGACAAUAACUAAAGCUCGAAAUUCUUGAAUGAACUUAGUGGGAUCCUAGCUAAGUGAACCCAGUGUGGAUUUGAGAAAGAUCAGACGUUGGAAAAGGGACAUGAACUCGAAUUGUUCCCAAAUCUCCGUUUGCCACCUCGUGGAGAGAGUUUGUGGGUCAAAAUGAGACCAGUUUUGAAGAAUGCAAUCCGAGGACGAGUAGACGGAAUUGAAGAAAGAAUUGGAUCCAUGCUGGGUUCAGAUCAGCUACUGUAAGAUCCCCGAGGUGUCCCUGAGGGACUUGGACCUCGCCUCUUUGGCUCACUCUAUUCGGGGGCGUCCACCACAGAUGGAGGGCCUGCCCUUGCCUGGAUGAUCACUCCAGGGCUUCAGGAUCCCCCUGAGGAGUGGUCUUGGCCAGGGCCCUCAGUUCCCGAGUAAAGAACCAGACCAUCAAGGGAAGCAGGGAGGGAAAAGAAGGGAGAGAUCCCAGUAAAGUCCCGUAUGCACAACCAAGGAGCCGGGCGAGGUGUUGGAGCCCCAGCAUCGGGAAGUGGCCGACUCGCGGGCUGGACGCAAGGUGUUCCCUCGUCCUCCGUCAAGGUAACCAGGAGAAGCUGUUACAACCACCAAGGGAGGGUGUUUCCUCAGGCCGAGAGCUUAUUGGGAGCUUCGGAGCUACUGACGACAGCAAGCUGCAGGGCAGUUCCCCAGAUGAAGUCACCAGCGGAACCAGCCGGCCUGCUACCUGACACACAAGGCCAAGAACUGAGUCUCUUUUAAAAAUUUAACUUGUUUUGUUAUGAUUGAUAUAAAAUAAUGCAAACAAUUUCUUUGGGUCUGAUGCCCGUCUCACUGAGGCAGGCAAGCCUGUCACCCUUAGGUGCUCUAGGAAGAUGAUGUGCGGCCUGCCAGUCUCGCGGUGCUCUCGCCGCUCCUGCCAGGCGUCCCCGCCGUGCACCAUUUUAAUUGAACCCCGGCUACACCAGCCUGUCGGGACAUCCAGGCUGCAGGUGGCCAUCAGGGGCAUUUGCCCUUUCACAGGCGGCAGCUGGGUUCCAAGAAAAGGGAGGAUUGGUGUAAAACCCACUGCCUCAACUGGAGGGCGGGACCCCUGGGCCACGGGGCCUGUGCAUGUAAUGCAGCGGUGCCUCGGGGGUGUCCAGCACAAGUUGCCCCCUCCAGGUCACGGCCUGAAUGGCAGGAGUUGGUUCUGGCACGUGAGGGUCCUGCCGAAUGGAUGCCACCCAGUGGCUCCUGAUGAUACGCCAUGUCCUGGGGUACCUGUUUGGGUACUGUACCCGGGUCUGGUGUGCCAUGAGGGCUGCCACACAUGCCUAUGCUGUGACCCCAUCCCUGGAACAACCCCUCCCAUGCUGAGCCUGCUGCUGCGCCCCUGCUCGGCACAGGUGCCUAUGCCCAGGACUGGGCGUAAAACCAAGCCCUGUGUGGACAGCCUGCCCAUGCUAGGCCGGGAGUCCAGCCGUGUGGAGGCAGGGCUGUCCCUGGACCUCUUGUCUGUGAAGUGGAGUACAGUUCUCACCUGGGGUGACAGGGCAGAUGUCCGGGGCCACGGGUGAUCACAGUAAUGAGGGUUGUGGUGGACAAAUCCGGCUUUGUCUCUCCCACCUGGGCCAAGGCCGCCCGAUGCGCUGCCCCCUCCCCAUGCGACCCUGGCCAGACUGAUGGUCCUCCCAGACAGGGGUGGGGGGCAUGUGGCGCACCUCCCUGGGAGUCAGCACAGCCCCCUAA